rnacentral:rRNA from 1 species
GACGAACGCUGGCGGCGUGCUUAACACAUGCAAGUCGAACGAAGUGGCGAACGGGUGAGUAACGCGUAAUCCACCUGCCCUUCAGAGGGGGACAACAGUUGGAAACGAAUGCUAAUAACGCAUACUGAAGGAGGGGAUUGCGGUUGAUUAGCUCGGUGGCGGGGUAAGGGCCCAGCAAGGCGAGGAUCAGUAGCCGGGCUGGGAGGAUGAACGGCCACAUUGGGACGGGGACACGGCCCAGACUCCUACGGGAGGCAGCAGUGGGGAAUCUUCCGCAAUGGACGAAAGUCUGACGGAGCAACGCCGCGUGAGUGAUGACGGCCUGCGGGUUGUAAAGCUCUGUUAAUCGGGACGCGGUACCGGAAUAGAAAGCCACGGCUAACUACGUGCCAGCAGCCGCGGUAAUAC